CCGGGGGUUAGAGCUUCAACCUCCAGUAUGAUGGUAUUGAGGUUAGAGCUUCAACCUCCAGUGUGA
rnacentral:miRNA from 1 species